UAAACCUGUAUUUAUCAAAGCAUUAUUUUUGCAAUAUACACAUUUAGAAUCUCACCAUAAUGUUAUUUUUUACAACUUUUGUUUUUACCAUAUCAGACAGUAUUUUUGUACUUUUAUUCCAUUGUCUAAGUGUUGUGUUGUACAUAUGUAGUGCAAUUAUUCCAUUGGGACACGACCAAUAGUAAAAGUCAAAAUCUGAUCGUCAGAUUUGUGCAUUUUCCCCCCCCAAAAAAAUGAAAUUACAAAUAUCGUAUUCAUAUGACUGAUAUAAAUGAGCUGCGUAGAAAGCUCCCUUAUGAAAAUAAACAUCAACUUAAAGACAUUUGUUCACCUUUUUCAGGUCGAAAACCUCUGUACCAAAAGUCUGUAAUGGUUUGAAAAUUGGUUUGUUAUAAGUACCCUUCAAAACUGACCAUAAUUCAUCUUUUACUUUGUACAAUUGUAUUUGAAUGUUCAAAAAUCAACCAAAGGCUUAUGCAUGUACAUGUAUAGGUGCAACUGUAUACGGUCGAUUUCUAUAUCCGACACAGCACAAAUCAAUGUCCUUUGAGGUUAGUUUUUCCCCCAGAAUGACCCCAUGGCAAUAAUGGUAUUUCAGUUGUGGAUCUAGAAAUUUUCAUAAGAGGGGGGCGAUUCCAUCACGCUUCAGUGAUUCCCUAUAUAACCAACCAAAAUUUUUCUGAAAAAGGGGGGCCCGGGCCCUCUGCCCCCCCUAAAUCCGCCUCUGUAUUUCAUAUAAUUGAAAUUGCAAAUUGUCUAUUCUUUAGUUUUACAAUGUUUUAUCAAUCUUAAAAGUUUUCCCAUUAAGCAGGUACCAAAUUUCAUGCAGUUCUGGCUGAAAAAUGGCUGACAUUGGGAUGUCUUUACAUCCGAAUGAUUUGGUGUGAAAUAAAAUUGGACCUGACUCACUUUCCCCCAAAAAAUACUGUAAUCUUGUGUAAACAUUUCCCUACCCUACGACCCAACAGUCUCUAUCUUAAUAUUUAUUUCAAAACUAUAAAGACCGUACAUUGACCUAUAAUGGUUUACUUUUAUAAAUUGUUAUUUGGAUGGAGAGUUGUCUCAUUGGCACUCAUACCACAUUUUCCUAUAUCUAUAUACAAUAUUUUGAGGAUUAUGUAUGUUCCUGAUAUAUUGAUCAUUGGCUAAGUUUUUACUAUGCUUUUGUCCCAAUGGAAUAUUUUUUUAUAAUUGCAAUAUAAACUGUAACUUGGUAGUGAUUUUUUGCUUAUACUAUUAUUUUAGAGAUAUUUUAGAACUUUUUUUGUUAUUUAUUCCAUUACAAUAAGUGCUAUUGUUGUUAUUAAUAUUUUAUUUACAAAAUAUGUAUGUUUGUUGUAUGUCUUGUAUUUGAUUGUUAACAUCUCAUGAGUUAUCUCCCAUUAAUAGAGAAAGUGGAUAGUUAUCUCCCAUUAACAGAGAUAGUAGAUAGUUAUCUCCCAUUGAUAGAGAAAGUAGAGAGUUAUCUCCCAUUGAUAGAGAGAGAAGAGAGUUAUCUCCCAUUUAUAGAGGAAAUAGAGUGCUAAAGAUUUUGAAUUUAUGAUAUCAAGCAGUCAAGUUUAUUUAGAAAAAAAAUGUUUAUAAGUCAAAGAAAAUUAUCUUGAUUUAAAGAGCCAAUGUUGUUAAACUGACACUUACAUUACAUAUGGCAUAAGAUUAAAGUGCCAAGGAUGUAUAUCAAAAAAUUGUAUUAAAAAUAAUUGUCUUAAAAGUAAAGAUUGUCUUCAUUGAGAAAGUUUCAUUUUAUUAUAAAGGCAACUAAAGGGCAAGCUUAUUUAGAAAGAGAAGUUAAAAGUAUAAUUUUUCAGUACCACUUAAAAUGUGCUUAAUAUUUAUUUAAUAUUUUGUCAUAGGAAAGGAGUGAAAAAAUAAAAGGGCUUCCAUCAUAAUCAUGUGUACAUUUAAUUUGGUUAAAUCUAGCAAGGGAGAUAAUUCAAGGGAGAUAAUUCUGGAGAUAUAAAGAAAUUGAAAACUAUUAUUAUAAAGUUAUUUUUAACAAUCAGUAAAAUGGUUAUCAGAGAGUUUAAUAAGUUUAUUAUAUUUUACUACAAAGUAAAACAGUUUCAAAACAUUUAAAUUGAGUAAACAUCUGUUGUUAGUGUAUGCUAUGAUAUUAUGAAAAAAGAUGUUGAUAUUUUGUUUGUGAUAAAUGUCAUAAAAAGAGAGAGAUAAUGUUUUCCUUUUGAAAUGUUUGGAAAUCAUGUAUCUUAUUCAAGCUUUGUGAUAAGGUCAAUAAAGGCAAAUUAAAAUUUAAAUAGGCACAUGAUUUAUUCAUAUGAAAAUAUCUUGUGGCCAUUAUUUCUGGAAUAUUUGAUUUUUUUUUUAAAUUUUACAACAUACAUUGGUAAUGCUUACUUAAUAAUAUAAGUUUUUAAGUUAAGUAUAAAUUUGAGUGCACAACAUCAUGCAAAUUUCCAAUAAUACUAGGAAACAGAAUUUUUCAAAAUCACAAAAUCAAGUAUUGAUAAAGGUGCAUUUCCACCUGAACACGAAAAUUGGU
rnacentral:lncRNA from 1 species